rnacentral:misc_RNA from 1 species
CUUGGUCAUUUGCAACGUCGUCGGCAGCAUGGCGACACGAGAAGCCGACGGCACCGUAUACACCCACGCUGGGCCUGAGAUCGGCGUCGCUUCAACAAAGGCGUUCACGUCGCAGCUCGUGGCGCUGCAACUGCUCGCCCUCUACAUUGCCCAGGUGAGAGGAACGCUCUCUUCCGAGCAGAUGAAGUCCCAUAUCGACGAUCUCCUCCAGUUGCCACAUGUCAUCGAUCAGGCCAUUCGCGCGUCAGCGGCGAUGGAACGCGUGGCGGAGAAGUUUCACUCGCGCCGUGAUUUCCUGUUCCUUGGGCGUGGCUUCAACUACCCGAUCGCUCUCGAGGGUGCGCUCAAGCUGAAGGAGAUCUCGUACAUCCACGCGGAAGGUUACCCGGCCGGCGAAAUGAAGCACGGACCGAUCGC